ensembl:snRNA U6 U6 spliceosomal RNA
GUGCUCACUUUGGCAGCACAUAUACUAAAAUUGGAAUGCUACAGAGAAGAUUAGCAUGCCCCCUGUGCAAAUUUAUGAAGCAUUUCAUAUUUAA